rnacentral:SRP_RNA from 1 species
GAGGGGCUGGUCGUGGGUGGAUCACGUGCCAACCCGGUCAGGUUCGAGAGAAAGCAGCCGUAACAUGUUUCGAUUCGGGUCGCGGCUCAGCCCCUCACU